AAAGUCGUAACAAGGUCUCCGUUGGUGAACCAGCGGAGGGAUCAUUACCGAGUUUACAACUCCCAAACCCCUUGUGAACAUACCUAUUGUUGCCUCGGCGGUGCCUGUUCCGACAGCCCGCCAGAGGACCCAAACCCUUGAAUACAUUAAAGAAUUUCUUCUGAGUAACCGAUUAAAUAAAUCAAAACUUUCAACAACGGAUCUCUUGGUUCUG
rnacentral:misc_RNA from 1 species